ACUACUUCACAGCCUGUGUAUAUAUUUGUAAAUCCACACACAAGAAUAAGUGGGGCUCUGAAAGGUUUCCGGCAGUUCUUUUUAAAUAAUGCCCUGGUGAGCCCUGGGCUUUAGUGUCAUAUUUCCGGGUUUGCACGUCUAUACAAGGAAUCAAGACAUUGCGUCGUAAUAUCAAAGAUCCCACAAGGAAGAGUGAGCAGAAUCACGGAUCUAUGGAUAUAAGUUAUGGAUGAGAACUGAAAUAGAGUAAGACUGAAAAUGAUACACACAUCAACUUUUGUAUGAAGACAAGAACAAAUGAUAGACUUUUUCCCCCCAUAAAGAGAGCACUGUUUCACUCUGAGGAGAAAAUUUCAUUGUCAUCGUGAUCUGAUCCUGAGGGUCUUGAAUGUGGAAACAGUACUGCAAGGAAGGCUUGUCACUUCUCCCUAAUGUAUGGAACAUGAAGGCUAGAGGCCAGAAUCAUCUUUG